rnacentral:rRNA from 1 species
UACGUAGGGGGCAAGCGUUGUCCGGAAUCAUUGGGCGUAAAGCGCGUGUAGGCGGCUCGGUAAGUCCGCUCUGAAAGUCCAGGGCUCAACCCUGGGAUGCGGGUGGAUACUGCCGGGCUCGAGUCCGGAAGAGGCGAGUGGAAUUCCCGGUGUAGCGGUGAAAUGCGCAGAUAUCGGGAGGAACACCAAUGGCGAAGGCGAGUCCCUGGACACUUCCUGACACUGAGGCACGAAAGCUAGGGAGCAAACAGG